rnacentral:lncRNA from 1 species
AGAAAAAUUCAGGAACGGGUAGUGCCGUUCCAGGCGAUUUUGCGGUACCAGCAUCCACCGUUCCCAAACAGAGUAUGGCUUCCGUCCACCGUCCAUCGUGGUAUAUAUAUUCGUGGAGUCAGUCAAGUAUGGCCUGUCCGGAAACAGAGUCACCAUCUUCGCGAACUCACAUCCCUCGCGGAACCCAUCUUCGCAGUGCCCAAUCGAUGCCCUCGCGGAACCCAUCUUCGCGAACUGACAUCCCUCGCGAACUGACCUCCGAUGCCCUCGCGAACUGACCUCCGAUGCCCAAUCGAUGCCCUCGCGAACUGACCUCCGAUGCCUAAUCGAUGCCCUCGCGAACUGACCUCCGAUGCCCUCGCGAACUGACCUCCGAUGCCCUCGCGAACUGACCUCGCGAACUGACCUCCCGAAUUGCACUGACCUCCGAUGCCCAAUCGAUGCCCUCGCGAACUGACCUCCGAUGCCAUCGCGAACUGACCUCCGAUGCCCAAUCGAUGCCCUCGCGGAACCCAUCUUCGCAGUGCCCAAUCGAUGCCCAAUCGAUGCCCUCGCGGAACCCAUCUUCACGAACUGACAUCCCUCGCGAACUGACCUCCGAUCACGGAACCGACGAACCCAUCUUCACGAACUGACAUCCCUCGCGAACUGUUCUGGUGGCCGCCUGGAACGGCACGUCCGUUCCAGAUAUUUUCCCUAUUAGUAUAUAUAUGCUAUCUGAUUUGAAGAUAUAU